AGUGAACGCUGGCGGUAGGCCUAACACAUGCGAGUCGAACGGCAGCACAGUAAGAGCUUGCUCUUACGGGUGACGAGUGGCGGACGGGUGAGGAAUACAUCGGAAUCUACUUUUUCGUGGGGGAUAACGUAGGGAAACUUACGCUAAUACCGCAUACGACCUACGGGUGAAAGCAGGGGAUCUUCGGACCUUGCGCGAUUGAAUGAGCCGAUGUCGGAUUAGCUAGUUGGCGGGGUAAAGGCCCACCAAGGCGACGAUCCGUAGCUGGUCUGAGAGGAUGAUCAGCCACACUGGAACUGAGACACGGUCCAGACUCCUACGGGAGGCAGCAGUGGGGAAUAUUGGACAAUGGGCGCAAGCCUGAUCCAGCCAUACCGCGUGGGUGAAGAAGGCCUUCGGGUUGUAAAGCCCUUUUGUUGGGAAAGAAAAGCAGCAGGUUAAUACCCCGCUGUUCUGACGGUACCCAAAGAAUAAGCACCGGCUAACUUCGUG
rnacentral:rRNA from 1 species